AUAAGGGGUAAAAACCGUUUAGGCGAUCGUCCCCCUUUCCAGAGAUGCAGGCAAAGCUACUGCAGAACAUCAAUUCGCCGAACAGGAAACCAUAUGAAUGCUGUAAACAGCUGAAUAGGAAAAACCAUACGAAUAGGUUUACACUCCUAGCAGUCAAACUGGAACAGCAUACCAUAAAUCCCCCCAAGAACAAGACAAAGCUCCGUGUUGAGGGUCAAGCAGUGAACAGACAGAGCUGUGGGUUUAUUGUGCUUAUGUACACAUUCUUACACAUUAGUACCACCCACAGGGUUUUGG